AUGGCAUUUGAUACCCACCAUGUUAAAAAAACCAGAACUUCUCUAAAAGUAUUGAUCUUCCUAGAAAGAGGAUCUCUAAUUUCACCAGUAAGAACAUGAAGGAGGUUAAGAGAUCUCACACAAGAUCUCCACAACAGUUGGCUGCUUACAUAAGUAGAAGAAUUGGACAAGCAGUGAAAAGCCCAGAUAAAUGGCGCAAGGUGCUCUACCACAGAAAGUUAGUUCAUCAUUCCUUCCCAAAUUCUUGUUACAGAACUAAGCAGUCCCCUAAAAGUAGGGGCUGUGGCAUGGCAAAUAAAGAAAAUGAAUGGGCUUGUGCAGGCCAUCUACCUAAAAAUUUACGCCACGACAGUUGGACAUUUGUCAUUAACACCAGUGAUUCUGGGUCUUCACAGACAGAAAACCCAUCACCAAAAUAUAGUGGUUUCUUUUCUGAGGUUUCUCAGGACCAUGAGACAAUGGCCCAGGUUCUAUUCAGUAGGGAUUUGAGAUUGAAUAUAGCUUUGACUUUCUGGAGGAAAAAAAGUAUAAGUGAACUUGUAGCUUAUUUAGUGAGGAUAGAAGACCUUGGGGAUGUGGUAGAUUGCCUUCCUGUUUUAACCAGUAGUUCACAGGAAGAAAAGCAGUAUCUCUCACCUGGCUACUGUGUAGACUUACUUCCUCCAGUAAAGUCUUUACUUCAAAGCAGAUUUGAAGGAUAUGUAAUAGUUGGCUUAAAUUGGCUUUAAGCAGUAAUAAAAACAUGGUAGUCAGCACUCUCAUCUAAAUCAGAAAUUAUAAGUCAUGGAAAUUUUAAGAUUUUAAAGCAACAGUUGAAUGAAUUAUGGGAACAGAAAAACCAUCUUACAUUGAUUCUAGGAUAUACUGGUAAUAUAGUUAAGAACAUAGAUGCUUAUUUAUUAUGGCUUCAUUGA